CCCCUAGAUGUUCUGGGCCGCACGCGCGCUACACUGAACAGUUCAACAAGUCUUAACCUUGGCCGAUAGGUCUGGGUAAUCUUUGAACGCUGUUCGUGAUUGGGAUAGACCUUUUCAAUUAUGGGUCUUCAACGAGGAAUUCCUAGUAAACGCAAGUCAUCAGCUUGCAUUGAUUACGUCCCUGCCCUUUGUACACACCGCCCGUCGCACCUACCGAUUGAAUGGUCCGGUGAAAUCUCGGGACGGCGGCUUGGUCGCUUGCGUCCGACUGCUGAAACUUGAUUAAACCAUAUCAUUUAGAGGAAGGUGAAGUCGUANCA
rnacentral:rRNA from 1 species